AGUGAACGCUGGCGGUAGGCCUAACACAUGCAAGUCGAACGGCAGCACAGUAAGAGCUUGCUCUUACGGGUGGCGAGUGGCGGACGGGUGAGGAAUACAUCGGAAUCUACUUUUUCGUGGGGGAUAACGUAGGGAAACUUACGCUAAUACCGCAUACGACCUACGGGUGAAAGCAGGGGAUCUUCGGACCUUGCGCGAUUGAAUGAGCCGAUGUCGGCUUAGCUAGUUGGCGGGGUAAAGGCCCACCAAGGCGACGAUCCGUAGCUGGUCUGAGAGGAUGAUCAGCCACACUGGAACGGAAACACGGUCCAGACUCCUACGGAAGGAAGCAGUGGGGAAUAUUGGACAAUGAGCGAAAGCCUGCGCAAGACAUACCGCGUGGGUGAAGAAGGCCUUCGGGUUGUAAAGCCCGUUUGUUGGGAAAGAAAAGCAGCAGGUUAAUACCCCGAUGUUCUGACGGUACCAAAAGAAUAAGCACCGGCUAACUUCGUG
rnacentral:rRNA from 1 species